UACGUAGGGUGCAAGCGUUAAUCGGAAUUACUGGGCGUAAAGCGUGCGCAGGCGGUUGUGCAAGACAGAUGUGAAAUCCCCGGGCUCAACCUGGGAAUGGCAUUGGUGACUGCACGGCUAGAGUGUGUCAGAGGGGGGUAGAAUUCCACGUGUAGCAGUGAAAUGCGUAGAGAUGUGGAGGGAUACCGAUGGCGAAGGCAGCCCCCUGGGAUAACACUGACGCUCAUGCACGAAAGCGUGGGGAGCAAACAGG
rnacentral:rRNA from 1 species